CCUCCUCUGUGAAAGGGAUGAUGUCAGUCUCUGCAGCUGAGCCCGCUCCCCAAUUCAAUGGGAUGACCACAUGCAGUUUCUAAGGCAGAUGUGAGGGUGCUACACAAACCGUGAAGAGGAAAAAAGAGGAGGGAGGGUCUGCUGAAUUAAUGAAGAGCUGAAGCUCCCAUCACAUUCCCAACAGAGGCGACCUGCGCGACCCUCGGCCCGAGUGUCAUUACCGCUGACCGCCAGCUCGUCUCUUGCGGCCCUCAUCCCGCAACCUCCCUGAGAGACAACGUGCUUUCGCAGCAAGGCAUCGAGGAGGUGAGAGCUGCUGGCCAGAGGAUGUGGAAGGAGAUUGACUGGAUGCUGCACCAUCACAUCAAUUGCAGAGGCUUCAUCGUACUUCAGAGACCGGCUGUCAUCUCUGUCUCCACAUACAAGCCAGUGUGUACUAUGGCUUUUUAUUCCUAUGUGAUGGUGGCAAAUACUCAUGUAGGAAUAGAAGCCACUUUACACGUGGUGUGAGGACAACAUGAUGUGCGCCUGCUGUAGAAGAACACAUGGCUGAAUAAAUAGGAGCCAAUUUACUGUGGUUACGAUUUGCGACCAUCGUUCUGAGUUGUGCGCAAAAAUAUGAAGUCACCCAUUGAUGUGUGUGCAUCUGUUUUUGCCUCCUGGCACCAGUGCUGCUUUGUGUUUGACGCACGCCGUGACAGCAGAUCUGCUGGGAUGACAAAGUGAUGUACAACGGGAGAAAAAGAGCCAGGAGGGAUCGAUA